rnacentral:rRNA from 1 species
GACGAACGCUGGCGGCGUGCUUAACACAUGCAAGUCGAACGGAAAGGCCCUGCUUUUGUGGGGUGCUCGAGUGGCGAACGGGUGAGUAACACGUGAGUAACCUGCCCUUGACUUUGGGAUAACUUCAGGAAACUGGGGCUAAUACCGGAUAGGAGCUCCUGCUGCAUGGUGGGGGUUGGAAAGUUUCGGCGGUUGGGGAUGGACUCGCGGCUUAUCAGCUUGUUGGUGGGGUAGUGGCUUACCAAGGCUUUGACGGGUAGCCGGCCUGAGAGGGUGACCGGCCACAUUGGGACUGAGAUACGGCCGAGACUACUACGGGAGGCAGCAGUGGGGAAUAUUGCACAAUGGGCGGAAGCCUGAUGCAGCAACGCCGCGUGCGGGAUGAAGGCCUUCGGGUUGUAAACCGCUGUCGCCUGUGACGAAGCGUGAGUGACGGUAAUGGGUAAAGAAGCACCGGCUAACUACGUG